rnacentral:rRNA from 1 species
CCGAGUGCGGGCCCCUCGGGGCCCAACCUCCCACCCGUGUUGCCCGAACCUAUGUUGCCUCGGCGGGCCCCGCGCCCGCCGACGGCCCCCCUGAACGCUGUCUGAAGUUGCAGUCUGAGACCUAUAACGAAAUUAGUUAAAACUUUCAACAACGGAUCUCUUGGUUCCGGCAUCGAUGAAGAACGCAGCGAAAUGCGAUAACUAAUGUGAAUUGCAGAAUUCAGUGAAUCAUCGAGUCUUUGAACGCACAUUGCGCCCUCUGGUAUUCCGGAGGGCAUGCCUGUCCGAGCGUCAUUGCUGCCCUCAAGCCCGGCUUGUGUGUUGGGCCCCGUCCCCCCCGCCGGGGGGACGGGCCCGAAAGGCAGCGGCGGCACCGCGUCCGGUCCUCGAGCGUAUGGGGCUUCGUCACCCGCUCUAGUAGGCCCGGCCGGCGCCAGCCGACCCCCAACCUUUAAUUAUCUCAGGUUGACCUCGGAUCAGGUAGGGAUACCCGCUGAACUU